rnacentral:lncRNA from 1 species
CGGACUUAUUUUCAAGAAAAAGAAAACAAAAAAAAAGGGCCAAUGGAAUCAUGGCACAUCAUAAGAUUUCUUCCAACAAACCUUAUCCCAAUUCCAAAUUUCACAUGCACACAUGCACGGCAACAAAAGGAUUUUGGCGGAUUUCAUUUUUUUCCGGAGGACCACGAAGGCAUCUUCCUAGCUUCUUCUUUCUUACUACAAUAUACACACGCCCUGAUAUAUAGGGGGAAGCUGAAACGAAAAGGACGGACACAAAAAAUACAGAAGGGGGCGGGCAAAAUGACCUUGAGGCAAAAAAAGGAGCCGCAUCUUUCAUCUUCUUCACAACUCCAAGUCAUGAAACCCUAUGACCUUUCCUCCAUUUUUUCUUUAGCCAUGAGAGGCCACUGAAGCUUACCGUGGAAAUAGCCAUGUCAACCCACCUUGAAACAACCACGAAAAACUGUUAUUUUCCACCCAAAACAGCCUCAAAAUAACCCCCAAAAAACGCAGGUAACGGUCAUCAUCUUCACUAGGAGGAGCUAAGCUAACAGCAGCCAAAGCGACUCCUCUCUUCUUUCAUUUUGACACCAAAAAAAAAAUAUAUAGCAGCAAAAGACCUCUGAAAAAAUAGUUCAGACCUGCCCCUUUUUCCUCCCUAAACAGCAUAAAACCCGUUGAAAUAAGGUCAAAGUAAACUCAGCUUGAACAGCCGCAUUUGGAUUUUCCAUCGUCGGUCUGUUGGGAACAAAGGCAGAAGCUGAGAUAUACGAAAGAAUACUUUUUUACUGCUCAAUUUUCCUUACUUGAAAACAAACACCUACUGUCUUUUAUAGGCUUACAAUUUAACUGCUAAGUCUAAAAAAUAGCAACUAAUAGAUAAUGGAGAACAUGAG